GGGUGUAUAGCUCAGUGUUAGAGCAUUCGACUGCAGAUCCGAGAGGUCUCCGGUUCAAAUCCGGGUGUCCCCU